AUUCAGGGAUGGGACUUGUGUAAUACUCACAGUCUAAUGCUUGGUCCUUAGGAUUUCUUUAUUAUUUUUAAUUUUAAUUCAAGUGUUUUAAUAUCCCAUUUUCCCUGCAGAUGUGUGGAGGAAUUGAUUUGGUCACUGUAAGCAAAAUAGCUGCUCUUGGUUGAAGGGCUUGGUCUGUGUAGAACAGCAGAUUUCUUGCCAGGUUUCUCCUUCCAGCUCUUCCUCAAAACUCUUCCUGUGCCAUCCACUGACGCCUUUCUAGCCCCCAGUCAUCUGCUCGAAUCUCUAAAACAUGUGACUCAUGUUCCAUUUUUAUAUUCAUCUUCA